rnacentral:rRNA from 1 species
AGUGAACGCUGGCGGUAGGCCUAACACAUGCAAGUCGAACGGCAGCACAGUAAGAGCUUGCUCUUACGGGUGGCGAGUGGCGGACGGGUGAGGAAUACAUCGGAAUCUACUUUUUCGUGGGGGAUAACGUAGGGAAACUUACGCUAAUACCGCAUACGACCUACGGGUGAAAGCAGGGGAUCUUCGGACCUUGCGCGAUUGAAUGAGCCGAUGUCGGAUUAGCUAGUUGGCGGGGUAAAGGCCCACCAAGGCGACGAUCCGUAGCUGGUCUGAGAGGAUGAUAAGCCACACUGGAACUGAGACACGGUCCAGACUCCUACGGGAGGCAGCAGUGGGGAAUAUUGGACAAUGGGCGCAGGCCUGAUCCAGCCAUACCGCGUGGGUGAAGAAGGCCUUCGGGUUGUAAAGCCCUUUUGUUGGGAAAGAAAAGCAGCAGGUUAAUACCCCGCUGUUCUGACGGUACCCAAAGAAUAAGCACCGGCUAACUUCGUG